GAGGGUUUUGGCCAAGUGCUGAGGAAGAAAUCUUUCUCUUGCUUCUUUCUUUGAAGUCCUGGAUUUGAUAUUUUGUUCCUUUUUAUAUACAUUUUCAAUUUUAGAAGAAAAUUUAUGCUAUAAAUGUUUCAUGUGACAAAUAUCAUGCAAAACAUGUUGUAAGGAGUAGAAAACUGCAUGGUCUUCUUAGCCAUCCCUUCUCUGGGAACUGCCCCAUGGUCCAU
rnacentral:lncRNA from 1 species